rnacentral:lncRNA from 1 species
AUAAAUCUUUUGAGGGCCAUGAUUGUUUUAACCUGCCAGUAACCCCCUCGAGUUCACCAGAGCAAAAGACAGCAAAAGCCUGUUUAUUGUCCAGCAGGCAUCUACACAUGUUGUAAGCCAAGUUCCAUCUGGUCGCAACAUCGUGGAUCAUCUGGGCGACAGCCAGGCUUCAUUUGCUUCAUGUCCUGGGCAGCACGGAGGCAGCCGAACAGGAACACGCCGAUGACCGGCCAACCGCGACCGAGCUGGCCCCCGGGGAUUUCUCGACUGAUGGCUCCGCGCGACGGAGCGGUGGUGGCUCUGCGGCUCGGUGUCUUUGUAAGAUGUCCCAGGCUGGGCCCCGCGGGGUGGUCGGGCCGUGCUGGAAGGUGCCGGGGAGUUAACGGGGGACGCCUCGCGGAGCUGUUGGAGCACGACUCGGUUGCUGUAACAAGCUAGAGCCCUGAAUGUGGACCAUCGUCCUCCUGCGGAAAAGGCCCAGAGGACCCAAAGGAGUCAAAACCAUUUGGACCAUUAAAAGCUGAUUGCCUUUGAGCAUUAGGUAUAAUGCUGUAGAUGUAAAGUAACAAAAUAUUUGUGUAGUUUCCUAUAACGUGUACAAAAUUAUUUGUAUUUAUUCCAUUCUGCUUUGCACACCCUCCUCCCAGUACUUAAAUGCAACUUGCAUGGAUCUGUACGCAUUUAAAGGGAAAAUUGCUAUGCUGCACCAUGUGUGAAGGUGAGCUAAUUACAUGUUAGGGAGUGUUUGAGAUGGGAGUGAUAAUGGCAGAGGAAAGAUGAGCCUUCUCCUCACUCAUGGACAAAUUUGGAUCAGGUGGCAGUACUGAAAAAUCCUUUGGAGCUUCCAUUGAACUUGAAGUGUGAUUUUUUUUUUUUUCAUUUUUCAUAUUUUCUCUGGAAGGAUUAGAGGCUAAUUAUUCUGGAAUUUGCUAAUGGGCAAAGGCAAUUAACAGAGAGACCUUGUUUAUUCCAGAUUUGAUACUGGAUCCCAGUGCUUCCAGGUAGCUAAGCAUCAAUGUCAUUGCUGCCUGCCACUGUCGUCUCUCUUCUUCCAAGUCACAAGUGGGUGGGUUGCAUGUCACAGAGCAAGGCAAAUGGAAACUUGCAUAAAGACACAGGGGGAGCUGGACAUUUAUGGAUGAGGUGAAUUGAAAGUUAUGUCUAGUCCUCUGAUGAGUGCAUGACUGCCAUGGCUGAAAGUUGGUGAUGGUCCUGCUUUGAGUGGGAGACUGGACAAAACGACAUUUGGGAAUCCCUUCCAACCAGCACUGCUCCAAUCCACAAGUCCGUGAUACUCAACCUGGUAUGUUCUGCUUACGUUUACAAUAAAGUACAACUCCCCUAAACUUGUACA